rnacentral:rRNA from 1 species
GGAAUAUUGGGCAAUGGAGGCAACUCUGACCCAGCAACGCCGCGUGAGCGAUGAAGGUCUUCGGAUUGUAAAGCUCUUUAAGCGGGGACGAAGAAAGUGACUGUACCCGCAGAAUAAGCCUCGGCUAACUACGUGCCAGCAGCCGCGGUAAUACGUAGGAGGCAAGCGUUAUCCGGAAUGACUGGGCGUAAAGGGUGCGUAGGUGGUUUGGCAAGUUGGUAGCGUAAUCCCGGGGCUCAACCUCGGUGCUACUACCAAAACUGUUGAACUUGAGUGCAGGAGGGGUGAAUGGAAUUCCCAGUGUAGCGGUGGAAUGCGUAGAUAUUGGGAAGAACACCAGCGGCGAAGGCGAUUCACUGGACUGUAACUGACACUGAGGCACGAAAGCGUGGGGAGCAAACAGG